UGCUUGGGGCAGCUACACAUGCAAGUCGACGGCAGCACAGAAGAGCUUGCUCUUUGGGUGGCGAGUGGCGGACGGGUGAGUAAUGUCUGGGAAACUGCCCGAUGGAGGGGGAUAACUACUGGAAACGGUAGCUAAUACCGCAUAACGUCGCAAGACCAAAGUGGGGGACCUUCGGGCCUCACACCAUCGGAUGUGCCCAGAUGGGAUUAGCUAGUAGGUGGGGUAAUGGCUCACCUAGGCGACGAUCCCUAGCUGGUCUGAGAGGAUGACCAGCCACACUGGAACUGAGACACGGUCCAGACUCCUACGGGAGGCAGCAGUGGGGAAUAUUGCACAAUGGGCGCAAGCCUGAUGCAGCCAUGCCGCGUGUAUGAAGAAGGCCUUCGGGUUGUAAAGUACUUUCAGCGGGGAGGAAGGCGGUGAGGUUAAUAACCUCGCCGAUUGACGUUACCCGCAGAAGAAGCACCGGCUAACUCCGUGCCAGCAGCCGCGGUAAUUAA
rnacentral:rRNA from 1 species